ensembl:misc_RNA 7SK 7SK RNA
GUAAGGUCGAUCUGGCUGUGAAAUCUGUCACCCCAUUGAUUGGCAGAGUUGAUUCAGCUGAUGUGGCUGGCUAGUUGGGUAUCCCUUUCCUCCCAUGGUACAUGUGCAUCCUUCCUGAAGCUUCACGCUUGGUGUAAGAGGGUGAUCUUUACUGAUAGAGGAGGACCCUUCUUCAGUUGAGGGUAUACAAGAAGUAGCACUCCCCUGUUAGAACCUCCAGAUAAGCUCUCAAGGGUCCAUCUGUAGGAGAACCUAGGUUAGUUAAGCUUCCAAGACUCCAGACAGGUCCAGAUGAGGUGCUGCAGGUGGCAGUCUGCCCUUAAAA